rnacentral:rRNA from 1 species
UACAGAGGGGGCAAGCGUUGUUCGGAAUUACUGGGCGUAAAGGGCGCGUAGGCGGUCUUCUAAGUCGAACGUGAAAUCCCCGGGCUCAACCCGGGAACUGCGUCCGAUACUGGAAGGCUUGAUCCGGGAGAGGGAUGCGGAAUUCCAGGUGUAGCGGUGAAAUGCGUAGAUAUCUGGAGGAACGACCGGUGGCGAAGGCGGCAUCCUGGACCGGCAUUGACGCUGAGGCGCGAAAGCCAGGGGAGCCAAAGCGGG